rnacentral:rRNA from 1 species
GCAAGUCGAGCGGUAGCACAGAGAGCUUGCUCUCGGGUGACGAGCGGCGGACGGGUGAGUAAUGUCUGGGAAACUGCCUGAUGGAGGGGGAUAACUACUGGAAACGGUAGCUAAUACCGCAUAACGUCGCAAGACCAAAGUGGGGGACCUUCGGGCCUCAUGCCAUCAGAUGUGCCCAGAUGGGAUUAGCUAGUAGGUGGGGUAACGGCUCACCUAGGCGACGAUCCCUAGCUGGUCUGAGAGGAUGACCAGCCACACUGGAACUGAGACACGGUCCAGACUCCUACGGGAGGCAGCAGUGGGGAAUAUUGCACAAUGGGCGCAAGCCUGAUGCAGCCAUGCCGCGUGUAUGAAGAAGGCCUUCGGGUUGUAAAGUACUUUCAGCGGGGAGGAAGGCGAUAAGGUUAAUAACCUUGUCGAUUGACGUUACCCGCAGAAGAAGCACCGGCUAACUCCGUGCCAGCAGCCGCGGUAAUACGGAGGGUGCAAGCGUUAAUCGGAAUUACUGGGCGUAAAGCGCACGCAGGCGGUCUGUCAAGUCGGAUGUGAAAUCCCCGGGCUCAACCUGGGAACUGCAUUCGAAACUGGCAGGCUAGAGUCUUGUAGAGGGGGGUAGAAUUCCAGGUGUAGCGGUGAAAUGCGUAGAGAUCUGGAGGAAUACCGGUGGCGAAGGCGGCCCCCUGGACAAAGACUGACGCUCAGGUGCGAAAGCGUGGGGAGCAAACAGGAUUAGAUACCCUGGUAGUCCACGCCGUAAACGAUGUCGAUUUGGAGGUUGUGCCCUUGAGGCGUGGCUUCCGGAGCUAACGCGUUAAAUCGACCGCCUGGGGAGUACGGCCGCAAGGUUAAAACUCAAAUGAAUUGACGGGGGCCCGCACAAGCGGUGGAGCAUGUGGUUUAAUUCGAUGCAACGCGAAGAACCUUACCUGGUCUUGACAUCCACAGAACUUAGCAGAGAUGCUUUGGUGCCUUCGGGAACUGUGAGACAGGUGCUGCAUGGCUGUCGUCAGCUCGUGUUGUGAAAUGUUGGGUUAAGUCCCGCAACGAGCGCAACCCUUAUCCUUUGUUGCCAGCGGUUCGGCCGGGAACUCAAAGGAGACUGCCAGUGAUAAACUGGAGGAAGGUGGGGAUGACGUCAAGUCAUCAUGGCCCUUACGACCAGGGCUACACACGUGCUACAAUGGCAUAUACAAAGAGAAGCGACCUCGCGAGAGCAAGCGGACCUCAUAAAGUAUGUCGUAGUCCGGAUUGGAGUCUGCAACUCGACUCCAUGAAGUCGGAAUCGCUAGUAAUCGUAGAUCAGAAUGCUACGGUGAAUACGUUCCCGGGCCUUGUACACACCGCCCGUCACACCAUGGGAGUGGGUUGCAAAAGAAGUAGGUAGCUUAACCUUCGGGAG